rnacentral:pre_miRNA from 1 species
UUUCUACUCCCUUCGUCCGAAAAUACUUGUCAUCAAAAUGGAUAAAAAGAGAUGUAUCUAAAACUAAAAUACGUCUAGAUACAUUUCCUUUUAUCCAUUUUGAUGACAAGUAUUUCCAGAUGGAGGGAGUAUUUG